AACCGCAAGAACUUUCACAUCCACCAGAGCCAAAAGUUGCAAUUUUCCUCUGACAAACCACCCUGGGAUCCAGAGUGUGGUAAUGCUUCCCUGUAUCCUAGCAAUUGAUUGUUUAGCUAUCGCAUCCAGGACGACGGGAGAUUUGUGAAUGAACACGGGGAGGGUUUGCAUACGCCGUAUCUCUGCCGGCCCCGGCCCCGGGCAACUCGGCCAUUUUGAUAGGCCUCUCCGUGGACCGAGAUGCCACUGGAAGUCAAUGCAUGGCUAUCGUUAACCGGGAAUCCUCAGGGAGAGGGAGAUCCAAAGUGGCUUUCCACACAAAGUUUGUGACCUUGGCAUGACCAGGUAGGGGAAAACCAUGAAGAUUUCUCCACUACUGACACAUCUUCCAAAGUCGGGACUCUGAAACCACCUUGGAAGAGUUCCAUGAUUCCCCUGCCCAGCUGCAGACCAACGUCCACAAGCCCGGUUCUGUGGGGCUGCAUUGCCACCAACAGUCUCCAAUUAUAACGAAGCUCUUGAACGAUCUGUGGCCGACUGACUCACUGGCAAAUCACCUUUAAGCCACCGUGUCUGUAUAUUUCCUCUGGGUCCUGUAGAUGCUGUUUCUCCUGAGCAUGUGAAAAACUGUUGCGAAGAUGAAUGGAAUAUUUUUCUCUCCCUCCAGUUCUAUAGAUGACAUGCUCCCGUGGGGAUAUCCAGAAACCAGUCAGCUAAUACUCGGGACAGAGUUCCAUUGUGCAAAAGAGAGUAAAACAUAGGGCUCUAUUCAAUCCCAAAUGAGGUAAACAGACAUUCUGCUCUUUUCCUCAAAGAACUUUUCUGCAGUCUGACGGAGAAGGCGGCUUUGAUUCCAAACAACAACAAAAAAAACAAAAACCAAAUCACAGGUUAUAUGUUUGCACAGUGGUGUAUGAGUCAGAUGCAGGGGAAGAUAUAUUGUCUGAGCACAUGAAAACCAUUAGGGGAUCAUGUAGUAGCUUUUUUUCUUUUCUCAUUUAAACCAAUAAAGGAAAAGGCAUAAGC